GCAAAUCACUUGUGGUGUGCAACUUACACAAAUUUAAAGCAAAUUGCCGAUUCCUUCUAUAGUAUCCUGUGUGCAGAGUGCACAUAAGCCUUGUUCACUUUGAAAACACCAAAGUGACGAAAUGACGGAUGGAUAGACUGCACAGACGUACCGUGUGGCAGAAAAUUCUACGGACAGACUGUUUUCACUGCUGACCCGUCCUGCUGGUCGGAUUCGAACCCUUACCGCUGACUACACUACCCUACUCGUCUCACGUAUUCAUUAUGUUUUCAAGCAAGAAAAACAGUGUAUGUACGUUGCAAUCACGUGACUGUGCAGACGUUAGUCUCCGAUGUCAGACUCUGGCCUGUGGUCGUAACGCCCCCUGGUGUCACAAAGCCAGAGAUGUACGACGACCAAAAAACCACAAGUGAGUGAGAAAAUUUAGGGUUUUUUUA